GGGGUAUAUUGCGCAAUGGGCGAAAGCCUGACGCAGCAAUGCCGCGUGAGUGAAGAAGGCCUUAGGGUUGUAAAGCUCUGUCGUUAGGGAAGAAAAGCUCAGGGGUUAUAACCGUAGGCCCGGGCCGGCCCCAUACAAGAAAGCCCGGUUUAACUUGGGGCCAGAAGCCGGGUAAAUACGAGGGGGGCAAGCGUUGUCCGAAUUUAUGGGCCGAAAAGGGGCCGAAGGCGCUUUGUUAAGCCGAUGGGAAAAUCCCGGCUUAAACCGUGAAUCUGAUUUUGAAACUGCUGAUUUUGAUUGGGGAAGGGGAAAGGGGAAUUCCUGGGGUAGGGGGAAAAUGCGUAAAUAUGAGGAGGAACACCGAAGGCGAAGGCAGCUUCCUGAACCUAUACUGACGCUGAGGACCAAAAGCGGGGGAAGCAAACAGGAUUAGAGACCCUGCAAGCCCACGCCGAAAACGAUGAGACCUUGGGGUGGGAGGAUUGGACCCUUU
rnacentral:rRNA from 1 species